GGGUUGUGAGGUUAAGCGACUAAGCGUACACGGUGGAUGCCCUGGCAGUCAGAGGCGAUGAAGGACGUGCUAAUCUGCGAAAAGCGCCGGCGAGGUGAUAUGAACCUUUGACCCGGCGAUGUCCGAAUGGGGAAACCCAGUGUGAUUCGUCACACUAUCGUUAACUGAAUACAUAGGUUAACGAGGCGAACCGGGGGAACUGAAACAUCUAAGUACCCCGAGGAAAAGAAAUCAACCGAGAUUCCCCCAGUAGCGGCGAGCGAACGGGGAGCAGCCCAGAGUCUGAAUCAGCGUGUGUGUUAGUGGAAGCGUCUGGAAAGUCGCACGAUACAGGGUGAUAGUCCCGUACACGAAAGCACACAGGCUGUGAACUCGAAGAGUAGGGCGGGACACGUGGUAUCCUGUCUGAAUAUGGGGGGACCAUCCUCCAAGGCUAAAUACUCCUGACUGACCGAUAGUGAACCAGUACCGUGAGGGAAAGGCGAAAAGAACCCCGGCGAGGGGAGUGAAAAAGAACCUGAAACCGUGUACGUACAAGCAGUGGGAGCACCCUUCGGGGUGUGACUGCGUACCUUUUGUAUAAUGGGUCAGCGACUUAUAUUCUGUAGCAAGGUUAACCGAAUAGGGGAGCCGAAGGGAAACCGAGUCUUAACUGGGCGUUAAGUUGCAGGGUAUAGACCCGAAACCCGGUGAUCUAGCCAUGGGCAGGUUGAAGGUUGGGUAACACUAACUGGAGGACCGAACCGACUAAUGUUGAAAAAUUAGCGGAUGACCUGUGGCUGGGGGUGAAAGGCCAAUCAAACCGGGAGAUAGCUGGUUCUCCCCGAAAGCUAUUUAGGUAGCGCCUCGUGAACUCAUCUUCGGGGGUAGAGCACUGUUUCGGCUAGGGGGUCAUCCCGACUUACCAACCCGAUGCAAACUGCGAAUACCGAAGAAUGUUAUCACGGGAGACACACGGCGGGUGCUAACGUCCGUCGUGAAGAGGGAAACAACCCAGACCGCCAGCUAAGGUCCCAAAGUCAUGGUUAAGUGGGAAACGAUGUGGGAAGGCCCAGACAGCCAGGAUGUUGGCUUAGAAGCAGCCAUCAUUUAAAGAAAGCGUAAUAGCUCACUGGUCGAGUCGGCCUGCGCGGAAGAUGUAACGGGGCUAAACCAUGCACCGAAGCUGCGGCAGCGACGCUUAUGCGUUGUUGGGUAGGGGAGCGUUCUGUAAGCCGUUGAAGGUGUGCUGUGAGGCAUGCUGGAGGUAUCAGAAGUGCGAAUGCUGACAUAAGUAACGAUAAAGCGGGUGAAAAGCCCGCUCGCCGGAAGACCAAGGGUUCCUGUCCAACGUUAAUCGGGGCAGGGUGAGUCGACCCCUAAGGCGAGGCCGAAAGGCGUAGUCGAUGGGAAACAGGUUAAUAUUCCUGUACUUGGUGUUACUGCGAAGGGGGGACGGAGAAGGCUAUGUUAGCCGGGCGACGGUUGUCCCGGUUUAAGCAUGUAGGCGGAGGUUCCAGGUAAAUCCGGUACCUUUUAACGCUGAGGUGUGAUGACGAGGCACUACGGUGCUGAAGUAACAAAUGCCCUGCUUCCAGGAAAAGCCUCUAAGCAUCAGGUAACACGAAAUCGUACCCCAAACCGACACAGGUGGUCAGGUAGAGAAUACCAAGGCGCUUGAGAGAACUCGGGUGAAGGAACUAGGCAAAAUGGUGCCGUAACUUCGGGAGAAGGCACGCUGACAUGUAGGUGAAGCCCCUGCGGGUGGAGCUGAAGUCAGUCGAAGAUACCAGCUGGCUGCAACUGUUUAUUAAAAACACAGCACUGUGCAAACACGAAAGUGGACGUAUACGGUGUGACGCCUGCCCGGUGCCGGAAGGUUAAUUGAUGGGGUUAUCCUUAGGGAGAAGCUCUUGAUCGAAGCCCCGGUAAACGGCGGCCGUAACUAUAACGGUCCUAAGGUAGCGAAAUUCCUUGUCGGGUAAGUUCCGACCUGCACGAAUGGCGUAAUGAUGGCCAGGCUGUCUCCACCCGAGACUCAGUGAAAUUGAACUCGCUGUGAAGAUGCAGUGUACCCGCGGCAAGACGGAAAGACCCCGUGAACCUUUACUAUAGCUUGACACUGAACAUUGAGCCUUGAUGUGUAGGAUAGGUGGGAGGCUUUGAAGCGUGGACGCCAGUCUGCGUGGAGCCAACCUUGAAAUACCACCCUUUAAUGUUUGAUGUUCUAACCUGGCGCCGUGAUCCGGCGUGGGGACAGUGUCUGGUGGGUAGUUUGACUGGGGCGGUCUCCUCCUAAAGAGUAACGGAGGAGCACGAAGGUUGGCUAAUCCUGGUCGGACAUCAGGAGGUUAGUGCAAUGGCAUAAGCCAGCUUGACUGCGAGCGUGACGGCGCGAGCAGGUGCGAAAGCAGGUCAUAGUGAUCCGGUGGUUCUGAAUGGAAGGGCCAUCGCUCAACGGAUAAAAGGUACUCCGGGGAUAACAGGCUGAUACCGCCCAAGAGUUCAUAUCGACGGCGGUGUUUGGCACCUCGAUGUCGGCUCAUCACAUCCUGGGGCUGAAGUAGGUCCCAAGGGUAUGGCUGUUCGCCAUUUAAAGUGGUACGCGAGCUGGGUUUAGAACGUCGUGAGACAGUUCGGUCCCUAUCUGCCGUGGGCGCUGGAGAAUUGAGGGGGGCUGCUCCUAGUACGAGAGGACCGGAGUGGACGCAUCACUGGUGUUCGGGUUGUCAUGCCAAUGGCAUUGCCCGGUAGCUACAUGCGGAAGAGAUAAGUGCUGAAAGCAUCUAAGCACGAAACUUGCCCCGAGAUGAGUUCUCCCUGAGACUUAGAGUCUCCUGAAGGAACGUUGAAGACAACGACGUUGAUAGGCCGGGUGUGUAAGCGCAGCGAUGCGUUGAGCUAACCGGUACUAAUGAACCGUGAGGCUUAACCUUACAACGCCGAAG
rnacentral:rRNA from 1 species